rnacentral:rRNA from 1 species
CUCCUACGGGAGGCAGCAGUCGGGAAUAUUGCGCAAUGGAGGAAACUCUGACGCAGUGACGCCGCGUAUAGGAAGAAGGUUUUCGGAUUGUAAACUAUUGUCGUUAGGGAAGAUAAAAGACAGUACCUAAGGAGGAAGCUCCGGCUAACUACGUGCCAGCAGCCGCGGUAAUACGUAGGGAGCAAGCGUUAUCCGGAUUUAUUGGGUGUA